GGAGGACCGAACCGUAGUACGCUAAAAAGUGCCCGGAUGACUUGUGGAUAGCGGUGAAAUUCCAAUCGAACCUGGAGAUAGCUGGUUCUCUUCGAAAUAGCUUUAGGGCUAGCGUAUAGUAUUGUUUAAUGGGGGUAGAGCACUGAAUGUGGAAUGGCGGCAUCUAGCUGUACUGACUAUAAUCAAACUCCGAAUACCAUUAAAAUUAAGCUAUGCAGUCGGAACGUGGGUGAUAACGUCCACGCUCGCGAGGGAAACAACCC
rnacentral:rRNA from 1 species